GCAAUAUCGGGUUUGAACGCUGC
rnacentral:miRNA from 1 species